GACGAACGCUGGCGGCGCGCCUAACACAUGCAAGUCGAGCGAAGCGGCGAACGGGUGAGUAACGCGUGAGGAACCUGCCUCUCACAACGGGAUAGCCUCGGGAAACCGGGAUUAAUACCGUAUGGUGAGAGAUGGCGUCGCGUCUGUUUAGUUAGUUGGUGGGGUAACGGCGUACCAAGACGACGAUCAGUAACCGGCCAGGGAGGGUGAACGGUGACACUGAAAGUGGGACGCGGUGCAAACUACUACGGGAGGCGGCAGUGGGGAAUCUUGCACGAUGGGGGGAACGCUGAUGCAGCGACGCCGGGUGAGCGAUGAAGGUGUUCGAAACGUAAAGCUGUGUCCUAUGGGAAGCGGUACCAUAGGAGGAAGCCCCGGCUAACUACGUGCCAGCAGCCGCGGUAAUUC
rnacentral:rRNA from 1 species